rnacentral:rRNA from 1 species
UAGCUAGUUGGUGAGGUAAAGGCUUACCAAGGCGACGAUCUGUAGCGGGUCUGAGAGGAUGAUCCGCCACACUGGAACUGAGACACGGUCCAGACUCCUACGGGAGGCAGCAGUGGGGAAUUUUGGACAAUGGGGGCAACCCUGAUCCAGCCAUGCCGCGUGAGUGAAGAAGGCCUUCGGGUUGUAAAGCUCUUUCGGCCGGGAAGAAAUCGCAUGGGCCAAUACUCUGUGUGGAUGACGGUACCGGAAUAAGAAGCACCGGCUAACUACGUGCCAGCAGCCGCGGUAAUACGUAGGGUGCGAGCGUUAAUCGGAAUUACUGGGCGUAAAGCGUGCGCAGGCGGUUUUGUAAGACAGGCGUGAAAUCCCCGGGCUUAACCUGGGAACUGCGUUUGUGACUGCAAGGCUAGAGUACGGCAGAGGGGGGUGGAAUUCCACGUGUAGCAGUGAAAUGCGUAGAGAUGUGGAGGAACACCAAUGGCGAAGGCAGCCCCCUGGGUCGAUACUGACGCUCAUGCACGAAAGCGUGGGUAGCAAACAGGAUUAGAUACCCUGGUAGUCCACGCCCUAAACUAUGUCAACUAGGUGUUGGGUGGGUAAAACCAUUUAGUACCGUAGCUAACGCGUGAAGUUGACCGCCUGGGGAGUACGGCCGCAAGGUUAAAACUCAAAGGAAUUGACGGGGACCCGCACAAGCGGUGGAUGAUGUGGAUUAAUUCGAUGCAACGCGAAAAACCUUACCUACCCUUGACAUGCCAGGAACUUGCCAGAGAUGGCUUGGUGCCCGAAAGGGAGCCUGGACACAGGUGCUGCAUGGCUGUCGUCAGCUCGUGUCGUGAGAUGUUGGGUUAAGUCCCGCAACGAGCGCAACCCUUGUCGUUAAUUGCCACCAUUUAGUUGGGCACUUUAACGAGACUGCCGGUGACAAACCGGAGGAAGGUGGGGAUGACGUCAAGUCCUCAUGGCCCUUAUGGGUAGGGCUUCACACGUCAUACAAUGGUCGGUACAAAGGGUUGCCAAGCCGCGAGGCGGAGCCAAUCCCAGAAAGCCGAUCGUAGUCCGGAUUGCAGGCUGCAACUCGCCUGCAUGAAGUCGGAAUCGCUAGUAAUCGUGGAUCAGCAUGUCACGGUGAAUACGUUCCCGGGUCUUGUACACACCGCCCGUCACACCAUGGGAGCGGGUUCCGCCAGAAGUAGGUAGCCUAACCGCAAGGGGGGCGCUUACCACGGCGGGGUUCGUGACUGGGGUGAAGUCGUAACAAGGUAGCCGUAGGGGAACCUGCGGCUG